rnacentral:rRNA from 1 species
UUUAUAACAAUGGCUUUAGUGGCGGACUGGUGAGUAACGCGUGAGCACCUGCCUACUAGAGGGGAAUAACAGUGAGAAAUCAUUGCUAAUACCGCAUAUGAUCACAUGAUAAAAGAGUAAUCUGCUAGUGAUGGGCUCGCGUCUGAUUAGAUAGUUGGUGGGGUAACGGCCUACCAAGUCGACGAUCAGUAGCCGGACUGAGAGGUUGAACGGCCACAUUGGGACUGAGAUACGGCCCAGACUCCUACGGGAGGCAGCAGUCAGGAAUAUUGCGCAAUGGAGGAAACUCUGACGCAGUGACGCCGCGUAUAGGAAGAAGGUUUUCGGAUUGUAAACUAUUGUCGUUAGGGAAGAUACAAGACAGUACCUAAGGAAUAAGCAUCGGCUAACUACGUGCCAGCAGCCGCGGUAAUACGUAGGAUGCAAGCGUUAUCCGGAUUUACUGGGUGUAAAGGGAGCGCAGGCGGGACUGCAAGUUGGAUGUGAAAUACCGUGGCUUAACCACGGAACUGCAUCCAAAACUGUAGUUCUUGAGUGAAGUAGAGGCAAGCGGAAUUCCGAGUGUAGCGGUGAAAUGCGUAGAUAUUCGGAGGAACACCAGUGGCGAAGGCGGCUUGCUGG